rfam:Gossypium raimondii Chr13_contig_391, whole genome shotgun sequence.
AACCCAUGAUGAGGGCACCUUCUCAAAAGAUCCUUAAAUCUCUUUCAUGCAUCAUAUGAUGUAUCCAAAUCAAUUUGAGAAAAAAAAGAGAUGACGGUCCUUAACUU